rnacentral:rRNA from 1 species
AGAGAUGCAUUGGGUUUAAAGUGUGCGCAGGCGGUUUUGUAAGACAGAGGUGAAAUCCCCGGGCUCAACCUGGGAACUGCCUUUGUGACUGCAAGGCUGGAGUGCGGCAGAGGGGGAUGGAAUUCCGCGUGUAGCAGUGAAAUGCGUAGAUAUGCGGAGGGACACCGAUGGCGAAGGCAAUCCCCUGGGCCUGCACUGACGCUCAUGCACGAAAGCGUGGGGAGCAAACA